CUGCAGCCAAUUAAGCUGACCGGGUUCCUUUUCUCGUGGGGACAUGGUGUGCACUGGUUGCAAACAGCAACCUCCUUGGUAGUGUAUGCAGCCUGUUGCUUGUAUGGGUUGCCCUAAGGACCUUGGAGACAGUU